CCCGGCAAUGAAUUGCCGGGCUAUUCUCGGAAGUCCCUGCGGGACU
rnacentral:sRNA from 1 species